rnacentral:lncRNA from 1 species
AAAUGAAUUCCAUUAUCUAUAAUAAAUGUACUUAUUUGCCCAAUUCCAGAAUACACAGAAGUAGUUUUAGAACUGCUACCAAAAGACACCCUCUAGUGCAAAAAAAAAAAAGUAACUAAAAUUUAAUAUUCAUUUGCAGUUCAUUUAGUCUUUAGUCUGAGAGUACAUAGUAAAAAAAAAAAAAUUAUAUUCUACAGUUGCUUGGAUUGGGUUAGUCCCCCCCACCAGGGAUCUUUGUCUAUUUCAUUUCACUUCAUUAAUUCGACAAGAUUACUGACCACUUACUGUGAAACAGACUCCAUGAGAAGCAAACAAUAUGAAGAUAAAUGAGAUGUAGGAACAGGCCUCAAAAAGCUCAAAGUCUGUGGACAUACAUGGAAAUAUCAUUUCAAUGCUAUAGGAAAAGAGCUAAAAUAGAGGUACUUAUGAAGUGGCAUGAGAACUCGAAGAAAGAUGGACUAUGUCAAGGAGGGGAUAUUCAGGGUAAGUUUCACUCAGGAGAGGACAU